rnacentral:tRNA from 1 species
AGCGGGGUAGGGAAGUCUGGAGUUCCCGUCGGGCUCAUAACCCGAAGCUCGGAGGUUCAAAUCCUCCCCUCGCUA